AACGAACGCUGGCGGCAUGCCUAACACAUGCAAGUCGAACGAGACCUUCGGGUCUAGUGGCGCACGGGUGCGUAACGCGUGGGAACCUGCCCUUAGGUUCGGAAUAACUCCCCGAAAGGGGUGCUAAUACCGGAUAAUGUCUUCGGACCAAAGAUUUAUCGCCUUUGGAUGGGCCCGCGUUGGAUUAGCUAGUUGGUAGGGUAAAAGCCUACCAAGGCGACGAUCCAUAGCUGGUCUGAGAGGAUGAUCAGCCACACUGGGACUGAGACACGGCCCAGACUCCUCCGGGAGGCGGCGGUGGGGAAUAUGGGAAAAGGGGCGAAAGCUUGAUCCAGCAAUCCCGCGUGAGGAAUGAAGGCUUGGGGGUUAUAAAUCUUUUUUCCCCGGGAUAAUAAGGACAGUACCGGAGGAAUAAGCGCGGGCAACCCCCGUC
rnacentral:rRNA from 1 species